rnacentral:tRNA from 1 species
GGAGGAGUGGCCGAGUGGUCAAAGGCAACAGACUGUAAAUCUGUCCGCGUAAGCGUUCGAAGGUUCGAAUCCUUCUUCCUCCACCA